UGUAACUUGUGCUCUGGGAGAAAGCCC
rnacentral:piRNA from 1 species